AGAAUCAACGCUGGCGGCGUGCCUAACACAUGCAAGUCGAACGAGAAAGUGGAGCAAUCCAUGAGUACAGUGGCGUACGGGUGAGUAACACGUGACUACCUACCCUCGAGUGGGGAAUAACCUCGGGAAACCGGGCUAAUACCGCAUAACAUCUACGGAUCAAAUGCGUAAGCAGCUUGAGGAGGGGUCACGGCCGAUUAGCUAGUUGGUGAGGUAAUGGCCCACCAAGGCAAUGAUCGGUA
rnacentral:rRNA from 1 species